rnacentral:lncRNA from 1 species
UCCAACCCAUGAAUCAUUUUGUAUCAUGAUAGGCUUGAGACAGGGUUUCAAAUUUGAAGAGGUAAAAGCUAAGGAAUAAAACCUCAUAUCAAAUCAUGUAGUAUUAGAUUUCUCAAAUCAAACUUUCACAUUUACUUAACUAUUAGUAUUUAAUUAGAACCAGUUGAGUAAAUAGCAAUCAAAAUUUAACAAUUUACAACCAACCAUUUGAUUCCAAAUAUCAUUUUCAAUAUUUGAAUUUGGAUACACAAAAAGUUAAUGAUUCCCAAUGAUUUUCUUAAGCCAAAUUUCUGUGCAGUAACAUCACGAAGCAAGGUUAUUUAUAAUGAAAUACUAGUAAAUUAAAAGGGUAAUGAAGAUUUUUUUUCUAGUACCUCUGAGGGAACCAUUGGUGCAUUUACUGCAGUAGAAGCAAGCUCCCCUUUCAAGGCCCCAACUACAGCUUCGGCUAUUUCAAUAGCCACACCUUCCUGGUAAUCAUUUUGAAAGGUUAUUAGACAUAAUCAUGAGCAAUUGUU